rnacentral:misc_RNA from 1 species
CACAACAAAAUAUGAAGGCUGUACGCGGCUGUGUCUCUCUGGGGGCCAGCUUUGCGGAGGCUGAAAUAUUUUUCACCCAUGUCUUUUGCGCACUUGUUGUUUCCUGGGCGGGUUUCGCCCGCCACCAGGACCACACCAUAAACCUUUUUUUAUGCAGUUGCAAUCAGCGUCAGUAUAACCAAUGUAAAAUCAUUUA